rnacentral:pre_miRNA from 1 species
UUGUGCCUGGUUCCCUGUAUGCCACAGGCUGAGUCCAAUCUUGACCGUUGAUUGCCUCUUGCCGGUGGCAUCCAUGGAUCCAAGCACAC